ensembl:lncRNA
AGUUCAUGUUUUAAGAUGUGUUUCCUAGAACACCUUCCUUAAUGGUGUGUGAAUGUAUCAUUUAUAUAGAGUACAUUUGAAAUGAGUAUGGUUUUUAUUUCCUUAGGAAUUGUUGAAUUCUAUCAUGAAUCCAAUUAUAUUAUACGAACCAUUUAGGGAAGGGAACACAAAACUCAGCCCUGGAGGGCCGGUGUCCUGCAGAGUUCAGCUCCAACACUAAUCAAGCACACCUGAACCAGCUAAUUAAGGUCUUACUAGGUAUACAUGAAAUUCCAGGCAGGUGUGUUGAGGCAAGCUGGAGGUAAACUCUGCAGGCCCUCCAGGACCGAAUUUGGAGACCCCUGAUUUAGGUGAAGAAAAAAAAAAAAAAAAACACUCCUCAGAGUUCACACACUUCCUUCUCUUCGUUUAUUUCUGUGGAUUGUCACAUUCCAUUCAGCAGAGGUCAUUGGGACACAACAUGUCAUUUUUCAAUCCAAAAUUAAAAUUGUGCAGAAAAAGUCAGAGUAUACAGUACAUUAUAGGGCUGGCCGAUAUAUCUAACGAUAUGAUCAUGCGCAUUUAGUCACUAAAUCUGGCUCCGUGAUUAGCGCUAAAUCGCCAUCACCUGCUUUCAAAUGGAGCGGCACUUUAGACAGAGCCGUAGAUCACUGACAAGCUACGCAAUAUCGCGUUCAUCAUCUGCGAUAAUGAAUGCGAUAUUGCGCAGCUUGUCAGUAAUCUACGGCUCUGUCUAUUAAGUGCCGCUCCAUUUGAAAGCAGGUGAUGGCGAUUUAGCGCUAAUCACGGAGCCAGAUUUACUGACUAAAUGCGCAUGAUCAUAUCGUUAGAUAUAUCGCCCAGCCCUAAUUAUCAUCAAAAGAAUAAAGAAAAAAAAAAAAAACACUAUGAACCCCUUAAAAUCCAGAGGAUGCAAAAAUAUCAUCAAUAUCAUCAUUUAGCACAUUUGGUUUCUGCAUCGCAGUCUGAGAGUCCUUUUUUUCCCCCAGCUCCAGCUUCCAGACACUCCAUUCUCAGACACUUCAGGUGUAAGAAGGCCAGAUGCUUACGCUCUUGAUGAAACUUACAGCUUCGACACCAGUAAAUCAUUUCCAUUAGAUGGGCAGCCAUAUUUCUGAAAGACGACACCUUCUUCAGUGACUUCAAGAACAUCAUCUUUUGAAAGACUGCAGCUUGGCUUGAGAAGUCUGAUUUCACCUGUGGCUCCAGAGACAUCUUUAGGAAGAAUGUUUCAAAAUUAACCAGUGACUGCAUUUCUAUGAAAAUGUCAGCAUAUUAUUUUUAAUAUUAUAAAAGACAUUAGUAGUGAAUAUUUUUUUUAUAAUAUUUACCUAUUUUUGUUAACAUAUUUUAAAUAAUUGCUUUUGCAAAAAAAAAAAAAACUGCACAUUUUUCAGUUCCUCCUACAAAAAUAGACUUCUUUUGCACAUUCAGAUAAAACAGUGUGUGUGUGUGUGUGUGUGUGUGUGUAAGAGAGAGAGAGAAAGAGAGAGACCUACCCUCAAGAAAAGGCUGCUUGGUGUGUAAUCUUGUGGAUAGAAAAUUGCAAGGAUUAUGUAUUUAUUAUUGGAAAUACUAUUAUUAUUAAUGUAUUAUAGUAAUAAUACGUUAUAUUUUAUACUUUGUUUUAUUGCAAGGAACAUGUAUUUAAUAUUAAAAUAUUAUUAAUUUCGACUAAUACUAAUACAUUUUGAUAUAUUUUUUCUAGUUUUGUUUUAUUAUUAAAAAAAAAACGAAUACAUUAAUAAAAUGCAGUUACAAUAUAAACA